GGUAUCGGGUAUUUUGUUCCAGCAAUGAGAAAGUAACUAAGAUAAUCUUGAAAAGAGGAGAACAACCCCUGCCCUGGGGUGGCAGGUGCCAGCUAACUGGAGUUCAAACUAUUCUUUGCUAUGGCCACUGUCUCUGAGAAACCAGCCACAUUUUGAGAAUGCAAAGGAGCUUCACAA
rnacentral:lncRNA from 1 species